CACGUAAGUUGCGAGCGUUGUUCGGAAUUAUUGGGCGUAAAGGGCAUGUAGGCGGUUCUGCAAGUCUGGUGUGAAAGGCGGGAGCUCAACUCCCGGACUGCGUUGGAAACUGCAGGACUUGAGUCACUGAGGGGCAAUCAGAAUUCCUGGUGUAGGGGUGAAAUCUGUAGAUAUCAGGAAGAAUACCAAUGGCGAAGGCAGGUUGCCAGCAGAUGACUGACGCUGAGGUGCGAAGGUGCGGGGAGCAAAC
rnacentral:rRNA from 1 species